rnacentral:rRNA from 1 species
GACGAACGCUGGCGGCGUGCUUAACACAUGCAAGUCGAACGGAAAGGCCCUGCUUUUGUGGGGUGCUCGAGUGGCGAACGGGGGAGUAACACGUGAGUAACCUGCCCUUAACUUUGGGAUAACUCCAGGAAACUGGGGCUAAUACCGGAUAGGAUCUCCUGCUGCAUGUGGGGGGUUGGAAAGUUUCGGCGGUUGGGGAUGGACUCGCGGCUUAUCAGCUUGUUGGUGGGGUAGUGGCGUACCAAGGGUUUGACGGGUAGCCGGCCUGGGAGGGUGACCGGCGACAUUGGGACUGAGAUACGGCCCAGACUCCUACGGGCGGCAGCAGUGGGGAAUAUUGCACAGUGGGCGGAAGCCUGAUGCAGCAACGUCGCGUGCGGGAUGACGGCCUUCGGGUUGUAAACCGCUUUCGCCUGUAACGAAGCGUGAGUGACGGUAAUGGGUAAAGAAGCACCGGCUAACUACGUG